AGUAAUUUAAAUUAAUCAGAUUACGUUUCUGAGUUUUGGUAAUCCAAAAGUUACGUUACUGAUUACAAUUUUGGACAGAUAACUAACUAGCAACGGUAAAGGAUUGCAUUUCUAAAAAAUAUCCUACCUGGGUUAGGGACUGAGGUCUAGUGCUGCAGACCUAGUAAAACAAUUUAUAAUGAUGUUUUAUUGUCACAUACACCAGAUAGGUGCAGUAAAAUGUGUUGUUUUACAUAGUCAACCAUAGUAGUUUGGCACCCCUGCAGCAAAUUAGGGUUUAAGUACCUUGCUCAAGGGCACAUCGACAUAUUUUUCACCUUUUCGGUUACUGGCCCAAUGCUCUAACCGAUAGGCUACCUAUUACAGCUGGAGACUGAUGACCUAUUGAUAGGGACUGAUGGCAGAACCUAGCACAGGCAACUUGUGGACUAGCAGGGCAGGAUGCUCUCAGCCUGGCGGUCUAGGCAACUGCCUACCAACUUGAAACUGAAACUCUGACCCUAACGAGAAGGAAGGGAACUCAACAUCGAUGCCAAGGGGGACAUCAGAGGUGACUUCUGGUGGGUCACACAGGGUGAUGUCUGGCGGGUCUCCUAAGGCAAUGUCUGGAAGGUCUAGAGGUAUCAGGACCCUCGGGGCUGGAACUAGCACGGUACUGGCAGGUGGGACUGGAGAGGCUCCAACGUCCUGGCUGCACUUGACAUUUGCAGUAGCUGCAGGCUCCAUCCUAGGAGCAGAUGAAGAAUCCCCCGCCGGCUUUGGCUCCGGGCCAGGAGCAGGCGAGGCAGGUGGAGACUUCGUGGUUGAAGGUUCCAGGGCAGCAGACAGUCGAACCCCGGGCACAACUAGUAGGGGAUCCCCACUGCUUGCACUUCAAUGGCAUCCUUCGAGGACAUUUUCUUCUUUUUCUAACCAGACGAAGUACUAUGAAGGCACCACUGAUCUUGACAAGAGGCACAACAUUUGUAUGGGGCAGAGGUUUUCCCAAAUCAGGGCAAUCACAUGUACCUACGGUGGAAGGAUGGCCAGCCACAUAGGAGGGUGAUUUUCACUGAGGAGAAGGAUGCCGUGCUGACCGAGAUGCACGCUGGCCAUUUCAGAGUGAAGCACAUGAUUGCCAAAAUCAACCUACGCUUCUUCUGCCGUGGGAUUGUCAAGGAUGUGGGCAGCUGGGAAAGUGGAAUAACCUUUUGUUAAUCAAUCACAUUCUAUUAUAUCUGAAAUGAUUAUGAUUUCAAUGAAUGUCAUUUCAGAGAGCACACAAUGUUUCAAUUUGUAACUUUGUACUUAAAGGUCAGUACCUGUCUAGCCUGCCAGAAGUUUGGAGUUGAAGCCCAUCAGUUGUUUCACAUGAUUGCUAAGUGUCAGAAUAAAAAUGUUGCACUGAUAACUUGUUUUGUAAUGGUUGCUUUAUUUGACCACAGUAGUGUUCAAUAUUAUAUCAUUUCUGUGUGUCAGUAUCCUUACAAAUAUGUAAAUCUGCAUACUCUAUGACACAGAUACGGGCAAGAAUAAAGUAACCUUCUGUCUACACUUGAAAUGUUAGGGGUGAACCUCGGACCCUUCACGAAAUCCAGGAAUGGCAACAGCUGGUGUCUGACGGCGAACGAUUACUUUACCAAGUGGGUGGAGGCAAUCAAUACCCAUUAAGGAUGAAACUGGCGAUACCCAUUAGAGAUGAGACUGGCAAGGCCACCUCCAAGGCGAUGAUGGACAUCUUCAACACCCACGGUUCUCCUGAGGUCAUCUUGAGUGACCGAGGUCGUGAACUCUGGAACAAGGUUUGCAUGAACGGACCAACCAGACCCUCAAGACUGACUAAGGAAAGUCCCUUGAUGGGUACCAGGAACGGUGGGAGGACAAGCUGAAGGUAAUUCUCUUUGCAUACAACAGCAGCGUACAGGCCUCCACCGAGUUCUCGCCCUAUCACCUGCUGCAAGGACGGCAGCCGCAGCUGUUGACUGAGGUAAACAAUGCAAUUGUAUAUACAAUUAUUGCAUAUAAUGUAGUCUUUAACAUUUGUGAUUGACUUUGUGUUGUUGUUUGUCUAUUGCUAUUUUUGUAUUACGUACUUUCAGAUCACUGAAGUCCCACCUGAUGAGGUGGAAGUUGUCUAGAGCAGAACCCCACAAAAAUCUCAGAUAAUAACUACUUGCAUUUGCACACAAAAUAACCUGAAGCUAGUUUUAGUUUAAAAAAAAAUCAUCUUUGUCUAUGGUUACUUCGGAGAAAACAAGAACCUUCUCCAGUUGGAGCAGUUAUACGGUCGACCACUGAAAGCCCCGAGGCACUUCAGUGAAGCACAAUAGACAAAAACCAUUGACUGUCUGAGUCAUCCAGGAGGUAUCCGAUUCACUAGAGCCAGUGAAGUGAAGUUGGAGGGGGACCAGUGAAGUCAAAGGGGGACCAGCUUGAGGUUGAGACCAUGGUAGUAGAUGAGGAGGAGCAGUAUGACCAGGGUUAUUCUUGGCCGAGCAGUCCUUACAAAGCUUUCCUCCAAGGCUCUGAUGCAUCUAAUGUUGUCCAGAGGCCUGUGUCUGCAGGCUUCAGGAAAGUCAUUGGGCUGGACUGCCAUGUGGACAGUGCAGUGCAUUUGUGAAUGAAUGAAUGGAUGGAUACAUUUAAUUGAAUGAUACUGUAUUGAUCAGUUAGAGGGGAAAUUGUGUUUGAAGUUCACCACCACCGGUGUCGUGGAAAUAUUCAGUCAAUAAUAUUUCUCAAAUACCGGAGCCUGUGAGUUCAAAUAGACUUCUAUUACAAUACAAUAAAAGCCGAGCUGGUUCAUGAAAACUGCCUUUUCAACCUUGGCACACACUUCUAAUACAUUUUUCCUCCUUCCAUCACUCACAUAGUAACUCCUUUUUAUGUUAAUAAUUCAUCCCCUCUGGCAUUUAGCUACCGUUAUCUUUUUGCCUUGCACUAAUUUUAGUUUGGCUUCAUAUUAGGGCAUGGAAACAUGAGAUCCAUAGCAAUAGUUCAAAAAUAAACAGACAUGUCAUCCUGCUAACUCCUCUGAAAUGAACACACAUGUUCUGGAAAAUUCUCAAUUGGCGUAACCAUAGCAACAGUAAAUAUUAGGCCAUAGCACUGUUACAGAAAUAAACAGUCAUGUCCACUCCUCAGACACGUGCAUGUCUAAUGGUGUCUAAUGACCCAAAGCACAUAUAGAGUGCACUAUUCUUGCUGGCUCCUCUGAAAUGUAUAAUGGCCACACAUUGCCUCCAUCUUCUCUUGCUCUCUCCUCACCCUCAACAUUUAUGUUGCAUCUCGCUCCCUACACUGUACUGGCAGCACAGUGUGUGUGUGUUUCUCUUUCAUUAUGAUUAAACCAUGCUGUUAUGGCAAAAUACAAUUUGCUCUUAACGACAUUCCUAUACAGAUUAAAUGAUUAAAUCGCAAUCUGCUCUAUCUGCACUGAUUUGUGAAGUAAUUUAAUGUUGAGUUAAAUGUAAAAAAAUAUAUGUUUCAGAGGUUUAAAAAGGAACAGAAAGGAACGAUAUAAACCAAUACUUUGUUUGGUUUCCAAAAGCUGGUCGGAACAGUGGAACGGAACAAACAUUUUUUGUUUUUGUUUCAGAAUUAAAUGGUUGGAAAAUACAGUAAUUUCAGUUCCAACUCCUGGUAUGUGUGCCUGUGUGCGUGUUCCUGUCCUCGGCCCCCUUGUCAGGUAGAGGCACUGGUCUGACCAGCCCCAGAGAUGGAGGACUACAGUCACCUUUGGAACCUGAGCCACACACACCACACACACACACAUACACACACAGUUUAUCUCUAGCUAGCAGAAUGAACAGAGUGAUGGCUACUAGACUGGGGAAAUACAACAUGGGCCCAUCUUAUUAGUGUAGAAUACCGUAACCACCACAUUUACUUGUGCUAGAUCCCCAUCUCUCCCUUGUUCUAGUUAUUAUGUAUGUCAUGAAGAAUGGUUAGAGCGCUGUGUAUACAGAUGUUUCUGCAUGGAUGUGUGGUUUCUAGAAAUUGCACUCAUUUAAAUACACUUAUUCUGGUAUAAUAAUUCUCAAAGGAAUUAGAAUGGGGAGCUUCAUAACAGUGAUGAACGUACACAAUAGUUGGGCGAUAUUACUAUUCCAUGUAAUAGAAGCCAGCUUUGGAAAUUAGAAGAUAGAGUCUUAUUUAAGCAAUCAAUAACAAGUGAACAUUUUGUUUAAUGAAAACUAUAAUUUCAGCCAAUGGCAAUUAUGGCAUAGGGAGAUGUUUUGGUGUGGUAUGCACUUUAGUAAUAAAGAUGUUCUCAUUUUCUUAUCUAAAUCAUUAUUGACUUCGGGGGGUAGUUAUGACCCUGCUAAGGACCUCAUCAAUAGCUUUAUUUAUUACUUAUCGCG
ensembl:lncRNA